CCUACGGGUGGCAGCAGUGGGGAAUAUUGCACAAUGGGGGAAACCCUGAUGCAGCGACGCCGCGUGAGUGAAGAAGUAUUUCGGUAUGUAAAGCUCUAUCAGCAGGGAAGAAAAUGACGGUACCUGACUAAGAAGCCCCGGCUAACUACGUGCCAGCAGCCGCGGUAAUACGUAGGGGGCAAGCGUUAUCCGGAUUUACUGGGUGUAAAGGGAGCGUAGACGGCCAGACAAGUCAGAAGUGAAAACCCGCGGCUCAACUGCGGGAGUGCUUUUGAAACUGUUUGGCUGGAGUGCAGGAGAGGUAAGUGGAAUUCCUAGUGUAGCGGUGAAAUGCGUAGAUAUUAGGAGGAACACCAGUGGCGAAGGCGGCUUACUGGACUGUAACUGACGUUGAGGCUCGAAAGCGUGGGGAGCAAACAGGAUUAGAUACCCUUGUAGUC
rnacentral:rRNA from 1 species